UUGCUGGAUGCUGACGAGCGGCGGACGGGUGAGUAAUGCAUAGGAAUCUGCCCGAUAGUGGGGGAUAACCUGGGGAAACCCAGGCUAAUACCGCAUACGUCCUACGGGAGAAAGGGGGCUCCGGCUCCCGCUAUGGGAUGAGCCUAUGUCGGAUUAGCUGGUUGGUGAGGUAACGGCUCACCAAGGCCACGAUCCGUAGCUGGUCUGAGAGGAUGAUCAGCCACAUCGGGACUGAGACACGGCCCGAACUCCUACGGGAGGCAGCAGUGGGGAAUAUUGGACAAUGGGGGAAACCCUGAUCCAGCCAUGCCGCGUGUGUGAAGAAGGCCCUCGGGUUGUAAAGCACUUUCAGCGAGGAAGAACGCCUAGCGGUUAAUACCCGCUAGGAAAGACAUCACUCGCAGAAGAAGCACCGGCUAACUCCGUGCCAGCAGCCGCGGUAAUACGGAGGGUGCAAGCGUUAAUCGGAAUUACUGGGCGUAAAGCGCGCGUAGGUGGCUUGAUAAGCCGGUUGUGAAAGCCCCGGGCUCAACCUGGGAACGGCAUCCGGAACUGUCAAGCUAGAGUGCAGGAGAGGAAGGUAGAAUUCCCGGUGUAGCGGUGAAAUGCGUAGAGAUCGGGAGGAAUACCAGUGGCGAAGGCGGCCUUCUGGACUGACACUGACACUGAGGUGCGAAAGCGUGGGUAGCAAACAGGAUUAGAUACCCUGGUAGUCCACGCCGUAAACGAUGUCGACCAGCCGUUGGGUGCCUAGCGCACUUUGUGGCGAAGUUAACGCGAUAAGUCGACCGCCUGGGGAGUACGGCCGCAAGGUUAAAACUCAAAUGAAUUGA
rnacentral:rRNA from 2 species